rnacentral:rRNA from 1 species
AGAGUUUGAUCCUGGCUCAGAUUGAACGCUGGCGGUAUGCCUAACACAUGCAAGUCGAACGAGGUAGCAAUACCUAGUGGCGGACGGGUGAGGAAUACGUAGGGAUCUGCCCUUAAGUGGGGAUAACCCGGGAAACCCGGAUUAAUACCGCAUGAUCUCGCAAGAGCAAAGAGGGGGACCGCAAGGCCUCUCGCUUUUGGAGGAACCUACGUCGGAUUAGCUAGUUGGUGAGGUAAUGGCUCACCAAGGCGACGAUCCGUAACUGGUCUGAGAGGAUGAUCAGUCACACCGGAACUGAGACACGGUCCGGACUCCUACGGGAGGCAGCAGUGGGGAAUAUUGGACAAUGGGCGAAAGCCUGAUCCAGCAAUACCGCGUGUGUGAAGAAGGCCUUCGGGUUGUAAAGCACUUUAAGUUGGGAAGAAAAAGCUUCACCUAAUACGUGAAGCCUUGACGGUACCGACAGAAUAAGCACCGGCUAACUCUGUG